GUGUGUGUUCUCGAACGUACAGGGGCUUCAAGAAGCCAAGCCCUAGUUCUUCAAAAAGCUUCAAAUUAAGGGAUGAUUCAAGGCUCAAAUUCGUGAAUUCUCAUGGAUUAAUGAUCACCAUCACAAGGGGAUCACAAGGAACGUGUCAAGGAGAGCUCAAGCAUAGGAGGAUAACGGGUCAAGAUAAGGCAAGGUCACAAAUACACUUAUUGGAGCACUCAAGGUAAGUGAUUUCUAUAAUCACUUCUUAUUUUAUUUAAGUAAAGUAGCGUUAGUUGAUUAAGCAUGAUGGGGUUUGAAGUUUCAUAUGGUUUUGGUCGUAUGAAAUUGGUAAUUUUAGCUUAGUAGACCGAAUGGGACAAUAUAAAGUUGUAAUGCUAUGAAGAAUAAUGUCUAUGUAAUGGCUACGGUAUGUAACCGGGUAAUGGGUAAAAUUGCACAUAAGUGCACCAACCGAGAAUGGGGACUUAGGUUAAUGGGUCAAAGUGAAGGUAUACUUUAGCACGGAACGUUUGUACAAGCAAUGUCGAUAGUAUUUCAUGUGCCCGGUUAGUGUAAGGUGUUAUAACAUUAACAUUAUGUGAGCCUUAAGUGUAAACAUAUGAGUUGUUGAUAAAUGCAUGACGGGUCGAAUAAUUCGUAAUGGAUAAUAAGCCGAAAAUGUAUAAGUUAAGAAUUUCCUUAACCCGGAUGUUGGAUUUUAAGUUCACAUAAUAGAAUGUUAGUUUACAAUCAUGCAGGAAGAAACGGGAGGUUAAUCGGGUAAACGGUUUAAAAGCUAUGCAAGUUUUUGUGCGUGCGAACGACAAAACAACACAGCAGAAAAAUGGCAAAACUAGAGGCCGUCGCCGACGCCCCUAUGGGUCGUCGCCGACGCCUUGUGCAUUUUCAGUUUUCUCCGACGCCUAAUUUUCCUGUCUACGGAGGUUUCUGGCUACGCGAAAAACUAAUAUCCGUCGCCGACGCCCUAUAGGGCCGUCACCGACGGCCUCCACAUGUUUUAAAUGCUGAAAUUCAUUAAUUAAGUUAUUUUGUGUACCGUAAGCUUCGGUAUAUUAACCGUGGUCUACGACGGGCCUCCCAAGCAUAAUUUUGAAUGUUUCCUUGAUGCUUUUGGAUCAUAAAUCCAAGUCUAAGCACUCCAUAAUUAAUGUACGAGUAUGAUAAGUGAAUGCGAAUAGGUUAAAUCAAGAAUUGAAUGUAAGUACGUAUGUGUAGACAUGAUUAUGUAAGCAUUUAGUUAUGUAUAUAGAUAAGUAGAUGUGUAGAUAUGUAGGUGCGUAUGAUUAGACGUAUGAAUAUACGAAUGCACGAAGUAGGAUUUAUCACCUAUGAAAAGAAUGGGACAGGUAUGCAUGUAUACAUGGUUUCAAUACGUUUGAGUAUGGACGUUACUAAUGAUGUGCUUGAGAUUGGAAUGUAAUGCAGGGAUGAGAACGUCAGACUCUUGUAGAAUUGAAGCCGAACCUGGAAGCCGAACUCGAAACAAAGGAAUCCGAGAGGAUAGUCGAAUGAAUUAAAGUUUAUGUUGUUGAAUGUUAUAUGAUUUUUAAUUGUACCAGAUUAUUGUUGUAUGAUGUUGUCAAUGACUAAUGGUUAAGUUGUAUGUGAUGUCCACAGGUACUACACGGAUUUCUUCUACCACUAUCGAAGAUAAGCGGGCAUAGAUCGAGUCGAAUAACAAGGAUUGUACGGAAAGAACGGUUACGUAGUCUUAAUUUUGUAACACAUUAAUUUGUAAAAAGGGAAGUGAAUUUUGUAAGCUUCUUGAAUGUGUGUAUUAUUUUAAGAUCGUAAAGGAAUUUUUAAAGCUAUUUUUCCGCUGCGUUAUCUUUAAGUUCUUACACGAUGAUCUUACAGGGAAUCGUUCUUAUUACGAACGGGUCAUGCCCGAAUUUUUCUUAAAUAAUAGCAUGGUAAUAUUACUUUUCAGAUUAAGAAAUAUGGGCGUUACAAGUUGGUAUCAGAGCCCUGGUUUGAGAGAAUCAAGUAACAGGAGGUAAAUACUUGAACUCAAACCGGUGUGCUCUCGUGACCAAGAACCCGUGCAAUCCAAGACUCGAUCGAGGCCUAAAGGCAAAAGCGAAUGUAAGUACGUAUUAGAUUAUGUAUUUGAAGGAAACUAAUAGUAUGUUUUGUGAAGGGUAAGCGCAAUUGUUGGGAGAGAUGAUCCGUGAAUGCGGUCUAGGACCGGCAUCGAGGCAAGUAACGGAACGAAUUGACCCCAGGUACGUAAACCUAACGUAUGGGCGUAUGAAAUUGUAUGGAUAAG
rnacentral:lncRNA from 1 species